GAUGAACGCUGGCGGCGUGCCUAACACAUGCAAGUCGAACGGAGUCCAGCCUUAGAGCCCUUCGGGUCAAAGAGGGGAAGACUGAGUGGCGGACGGGUGAGUAACACGUGGGCAACCUGGCUCAUAGAGGGGGAUAACAGAGAGAAAUUUCUGCUAAUACCGCAUAAGCACACACUGCCGCAUGGCAGAGUGUGAAAAGAGAAUCGCUAUGAGAUGGACCCGCGUCUGAUUAGCCAGUUGGCAGGGUAAGAGCCUACCAAAGCGACGAUCAGUAGCCGAUUUGAGAGGAUGAACGGCCACAUUGGGAGUGAGACACGGCCCAAACUCCUACGGGAGGCAGCAGUGGGGGAUAUUGCACAAUGGGGGGAACCCUGAUGCAGCGACGCCGCGUGAGUGAAGAAGUAUUUCGGUAUGUAAAGCUCUAUCAGCAGGGAAGAUAAUGACAGUACCUGAAUAAGAAGCCCCGGCUAACUACGUG
rnacentral:rRNA from 1 species